rnacentral:lncRNA from 1 species
GGAGAGUUCCCAUCUGGAGGGGAGCAUUGUUAAAGGCACACUGGUGCCAGAGAGUGCAAUGAUAAGGGCUUCAAAAGAGAUCAAUGGGACCUUCCAAAGUCAGACAAUGAACACAAAGACCAUUUACAAUGGAAACCAUUUGACGUGAACCUCCUCUCCCCAAGUCUCACCUUUCUCCAAUUUGGGACCCAAGUACACCAAAGACUAUGAAGCCACAUCAAUCACCUUUUGAAGAAACAAAAUCCAAUUGCAUCGCUUUAUACUUUUUGCUGUCUCUUUGGGAAGUCAGCAGCAUGUUAGAAGAAAGGUUGACUUUGACUUAAUGCAAUUCUAGAAAUGAGUGACGUCCAAGAGCCUCAGUCUUCAACUGCCCAUCUCAGAUCUUGCAAACUCAUUGGAAUUUAACGUAAGCUACGUCAUUAAUUCUUGCUUCAUCAUAACCCCAUAUUUUCAAAAAUUAGACACAUAUAUUUUGUUUUUAGUUUAAUUGUCAGCAUUCAUGGAAGAGUGACAGAUCCAGAUGAGAAUGAUGAAUGAACACAGUAGCACCAGCAUUUUUUUUAUUUUUCCCCCUUAGCUGUGCUCACCAUGUCACUGCUUGUUAUGCCAUAUAAUUAACAUUUUAAUAAUGUCAGCCUUUGAAGUUCCAAGCAGGUUUUAGGGAAAUGUUUCUUUCCAGAUCUAGAGCUGACAAACAAGGGAGGUCAUUUUAGAUUAGCAGGCAGCAGCUCUGGUGGUAGAAAACAAGACGAGUCCUGUUUAAGAUGAUUUCAAGGCAAUAUUUAAAUGGAAUCCCUUUGAGAUGGCUUUGUGAUUGUGGCCACCUUCUAUCCAUUAACAUGAUUCACUGUGGUUUAUGCUGAGGCAGUUUUGAAGAGAAAUCAAUCCUGAUGAGAAUU